rnacentral:tRNA from 1 species
GCCCUGGUAGUGUAGCGGUCUAUCAUGGAGCCCUGUCGAGGCUCCGACUCGGGUUCAAAUCCCGACCAGGGCG